rnacentral:rRNA from 1 species
CCUGGACACUCUCACACACUCCACGCAUCCAUACUAGUUAGCAAGCUAGCUAGCUAGCGCACACACAUAUCCAUUCGGCCAAGCACACACACAUAUCCAUUUGGCCAAGCACACACUUGUGCUCAUACGCAUAUAUACCAAGUCAGAUGCCUAUGGCACUGACUUCAGAUACAGCUCCAGGAGCACCUUGUACUGCCCGAUGUACACCUCAGAUAUAUACUUAGACAUGUAGGAGUAGGGGUAUUAUCUCUCCGGAGAGCCCCGAACCUGGGUAAACUAGCGCGUGCUACUCGCAUACCCGCUCCCGGUCCUAUCAGCAGCAGUCUUACCCUCACACUAAGCCCUUGUGGCAUCUGUCGCCUCACACCCUCCCCCGUGAGAAUACCACGACAGUUGGCGCCCACCGUGGGGUGGUACUACUACUAUGCUACCACGCUGCUGCUGGUUUCGCAGUCCGGGCGGGACCAUCUUCGCCAUCACCGCCGCGGCAUCGCGCUGUCUCUCCGGUAGCGCUCGGGGGCUCGACUUCGACCCGCCCCCGGAGCGGCAGCGCGGGACGGCAUGUCCUCAUCGUCGGCCUCGCCGCCUUCGUCAUCACCACCGUUGCGACGCCGGCCAUCUGACCGCGCGCGCGGGGCCUCGCUUCGGUCGGCCGUGUUCAUCCACGCGCCGCUUGCAUCCGCUCCCCUCCGCGCUGCGCCUUGCUCUGGCCGGAACGCGCUUUCGCUCCUCCACAUGCCAUCUAUACAAGCUAGCUAGAUGCAAGUCAAACCAUAGUCAUAAACAUCCCAGAUAAUGCAUGUACACAAGUCAGAUAUUCCUUAUACAACACACAGAUAAUGGCCGUACGCGGCUUGCCUCCGCUCGCCUCCGCCCACGCGUACGCGCUGCCGUCCCGGCUCGCCUCCGCGCCGCCAACUGCUACUGCUGCCCAGGCCCACACCACGGCUUCCCGACGGUGCAUGGCCCCUCUGCUCGCUCCUGUCCCUCGCCAGAUGCACGCGCAGGAGCGGCCUCUGCUCUUCUUCGCUCGAGCCGAACUGCGUCGCUAAUGCGCCUCUGCUCCGCGGCUCCCCUCCGUGGCCGCCCUCGGGUCCGCUCGUGGCCGGGCCGCCUGCGCCGUUGCCCUCUCGCGCGCAGGGCCCCUGCCGCGCGGCUACGCGCUCCAGGCCGCGCCGGGCCGCUCGCCCCGACCCCCGCUGCGUUGCGCGGACGCCGCCUGGGGCCUCGCGCGCGCUCGGCCGCGGCCGGCUGCCCGGGCGCCUUCGUCCCCACGCGCCGCUCCGGCUCCCGCGGCUGCGCGCGUGCCGGCUGCUGGCUGGCCGGUCCCCCACCGUCGCGUCACCUCUGGCUGCGCCCGUGUGCCGGCCCGUAUCCGCGUCGCGGCGCCGCCUCCUCCUUCGCACACGGCCUCCGCGCCCGGCCGACUGCCGGCUCCCGCGCCGCUGCAGAGCCCCACGCCGGCCUCGCUCUCUCGUGCGCCGACCCGCGGUCGGGUGCCCCUCGCCGGCUUGCCGCGGCCGGCUCCGGCUCGUGCCUCGACCCGUCCGGCUGACUCCACUUCCGUAAGACGGCGGCCGGGUUCUCCGCCCCCGUGCCGACUUCUCCACGCGCGCUGGCUGCGCCUCGCCUCCGCUCCAGUCGGCUGCCGGGUCCGGCUCCUCCCGCGUCGCCGCACCAGGUCCGGCUCCUGCAUCGCCUCGCCUUCCUGCAUGUCGACUCCGCCCCGCGUGCCGCGCCUCCCGCGCUCGGCCGGGUCACCGUGCGCCCGCUAGCCGGCUCCUCCAGGUCGCCUCCCCGCGCCCGGCCCGGGCCGGCUCGCCGCCUCCGCUCCUCCGGCUCCGCCUCCGCCCAGCUGCGCCUCGCGCGCUCGGCUUGGUGCGCCCGCGACCCGGCCCUGGCCGGCUCCGCCACUCGGCCCCGCCUCGCCGGCUAUAGCUCCCGUUGCGAGCGCCGUGGCCGGCUGUGCCCCGUCGGGUCCCCGCUCCGGCCGUCUGCUGUGGCCGACACCUGAAAAAAAAGCUGAAGAAAGAAAGGGGCUGGGUGCCCAUCAGGCUAGAGAAAAGAAAGAAGAGGCCGGCUGCUGCGCUCCCACUUCGGCCGCCUGCUGCGGUUGCGUGCCCGAAGAAGAAAAGAAAAAGAAAAGCUAGAUGAGGUCGGGUGCUCGGGGAAAAUAAAAGAGGCCGAGUGCCCAAUCCGGCUGAGAAGAGGCCGAGUGCCCAAUCUGGCUGAGAAGUGGCCGAGUGCCCAAAAGAAAGAAAAAGUGACUGGGUGAGAUGGCCGGCUGCCCGAGAUUCGGCUGGAAUAAAAGAAAAGAUGAAAGAAAUGUGCGUCCGACUGCCAGAUGUGCGUCCAAUCGCUGGCUGCCUGGCCGGCUGCAAAAAUCCCGACUGAUGUGUCGGAGUCCGCCUGCCCAGCCAGCUGAAGAAGGAAAAGAAGAAGACAAAGUAGUCGCCAGGAGAUCCGGCCUGACUGCUCAACAGUCGGCCCGAAUCUUGGGGGCUACACUCAGCGGGUGCGCUGACGCGCCCCCGCGAAGAAGAAGACAAAGUAGUUGCCGGGAGAUCCAGUCCGACUGCUCAGUAGUCGACCCGAAUCUCGGGGGCUACACCCAGCGGGUGCGCUUACGCGCCCCCGCGAAGAAGAAGAAGACAAAGUAGUCGCUGGGAGAUCCGGCCCGACUGCUCAGCAGUCGGCCCGAAUCUCGGGGGCUACACCCAGCGGGUGCGCUGACGCGCCCCCGUGAAGAAAAAGACAAAGUA